rnacentral:rRNA from 1 species
AGAGUUUGAUCCUGGCUCAGAACGAACGCUGGCGGCAGGCUUAACACAUGCAAGUCGAACGCCCCGCAAGGGGAGUGGCAGACGGGUGAGUAACACGUGGGAAUAUGCCCCAAGGUACGGAACAACGCCGGGAAACUGGCGCUAAUACCGUAUGUGGCCGAGAGGCGAAAGAUUUAUCGCCUUGGGAUUAGCCCGCGUUGGAUUAGCUAGUUGGUGGGGUAAAAGCCUACCAAGGCGACGAUCCAUAGCUGGUCUGAGAGGACGACCAGCCACACUGGGACUGAGACACGGCCCAGACUCCUACGGGAGGCAGCAGUGGGGAAUCUUGGACAAUGGGCGCAAGCCUGAUCCAGCCAUGCCGCGUGAGUGAUGAAGGCCUUAGGGUUGUAAAACUCUUUCGCCGAGGACGA